GACGAACGCUGGCGGCGUGCCUAAUACAUGCAAGUCGAACGCAGUGGGGACGGGUGAGUAACAUGUGGGUAACCUCCCAUCAGAGGGGAUAACACUUGGACACAGGUGCUAAACCGAUACUGAUGGAUGGACCCGCUGUGCAUUAGCUAGUUGGUGAGGUAACGGCUCACCAAGGCCACGAUGCAUAGCGGACCUGGAAGGGUGAUCGGCCACAGUGGGACUGAGACACGGACCGGACUCCUACGGGGGGCAGCAGUAGGGAAUCUUGGGCAAUGGACGAAAGUCUGACCGAGCAACGCCGCGUGAGUGAAGAAGGUUUUCGGAUCGUAAAACUCUGUUGUUAGAGAAGCGGUAUCUAACCAGAAAGCCACGGCUAACUACGUGCCAGCCGCCGCGGUAAUUC
rnacentral:rRNA from 1 species